GCCUUCGUGGUGUAGUGGUCAGCACACUCGACACGUAUUUGAGAGGUCCGUGGUUCGAGUCCUGGCGAAGUCA
rnacentral:tRNA from 1 species